UACGGAGGGUGCGAGCGUUGUCCGGAAUCACUGGGCGUAAAGGGCGCGUAGGCGGCCUGAUAAGUAGGGGGUGAAAUCCUGCGGCUUAACCGCAGGGCUGCCUUCUAAACUGUCAGGCUCGAGCACAGUAGAGGCAGGUGGAAUUCCCGGUGUAGCGGUGGAAUGCGUAGAGAUCGGGAAGAACAUCAGUGGCGAAGGCGGCAUCCUGGCCAUGUACUGACGCUCAGGGGCGAAAGCGUGGGGAGCAAACCGG
rnacentral:rRNA from 1 species